UACGAACGGGGCUAGCGUUGUUCGGAAUCACUGGGCGUAAAGCGCACGCAGGCGGAUCGAUAAGUCGGAGGUGCAAGCCCGGGGCUCAACCUCGGAAUUGCCUUCGAUACUGUCGGUCUCGAGUCCGGGAGAGGUGAGUGGAAUUCCUAGUGUAGAGGUGAAAUUCGUAGAUAUUAGGAAGAACACCAGUGGCGAAGGCGGCUCACUGGCCCGGUACUGACGCUCAGGUGCGAAAGCGUGGGGAGCAAACAGG
rnacentral:rRNA from 1 species